rnacentral:rRNA from 1 species
GACGUAGGGCGCGAGCGUUGUCCGGAUUUAUUGGGCGUAAAGAGCUCGUAGGCGGUCUGUCACGUCGGAUGUGAAAAUCCAGGGCUUAACCCUGGACCUGCAUUCGAUACGGGCAGACUAGAGUUCGGUAGGGGAGACUGGAAUUCCUGGUGUAGCGGUGAAAUGCGCAGAUAUCAGGAGGAACACCGGUGGCGAAGGCGGGUCUCUGGGCAACAACUGACGCUGAGGAGCGAAAGCGUGGGGAGCGAACAGG